CUGGGCUGCUAGAAGGUCUCUUCUGGCUCUGAGAUGUCUCCAUCCCUAAACCUGCUGCCAUCCCUCCCUUCAGGGCUGCACCAGGUGUCCAUAUGGUGGGGCUCUAGGAAACCGGAUGAAUAACAACACCCUUUCUUCUUUCAGAGUCCAGAACCAACUGAGAGAAAGUGUCCCCUUUCUUGGCAAAUUGGAGGAAAAUGCAGCUUGAGGACAUUUGUUUGUUUCUAGGUUUUGGCAAUUAUGAAUAAAGCUGCUAUAAACAUCUGUAUGCAAGUUUCUGUAUGGACAUAAGUUUUCAACUCCUUUGGAGAAAUUUCAGAGAUCAUGACUGCUAGAUUAUAUGCCCAGUGAGACAGUGGAGGAGAGGGGUCAUGCCACUGCAGUUCCUCGCUAUGCCAUUCAUACAGAGCAUUCUCCAUGCUCAGGAGUCCAGGAGUCCAGUGGGCCCAUGAUGCCCAGGAGCUCGUCGAGACUCAGGGAGCAAAACAGAUCCAUUGAAAAUGACACGAGAAGGAACGAGAGAGCAAGGAUGAUCCAUAGCUCCCUGCCCUUUCAUUCAGCCUCAUCAUAAGCCAAAGGUGCGGAAGACCUACUUAAAACCUGAGAGUCUCGAAUAGGAGAGGCGCUUUCAGAUCAGCCCGAGUCUUCUGCAGCGCACAGGAGCUAGUCGUACUGAAAAGAAUGAAGUUGGACUUGUCCAGGCGAGUUUCGGACAGUGCUGGGCUGCCCUGCUCUGAUCUCCUGGGUGUCUUCACCUCCUCUGGUUCCUAAGUCGGCUGCUGCACCAGCACCCAUCAAACUCUCCUGGAAGAGGAAGUGACAGCUCACCGGUAGCCUAGAAGGCCCCUGUGGGCAGAAGCAUGGACUUACUCCUCCUCAUGGAGAUGCGGCUGAGCCAUAUUUCCUUGGCACCUCUCUGGAACCUUCGACAACCACCACCUCAGACACUAACCAGACUUUAGGUCCAUUCCUUUCAUGGCUAAAAUGAGACAGUCCACAAUGUUGAUUUUAUUUGUAGGGGAUGUCAGGAUUCCAGAAAAGCAGACUUGGAAAGCAACAAAACGUUAACUUGCAGCUCACUGAGGCCCUUACACUUGUUCUGGGCACCUCUGUAUGUUAAAAGAAGUCCAAUAUCUUUAGCUGCUGGUUAUAGGUGGCCAUAUGUUUCUGCACAGAAAUGGGGCUCCCCUUGCUAGACUAAUUUUCUAAUUUUUCCUCAAGCUUCAUUGAUUCAUAUUCUUCUACUUGACCCUGACUGUCAGGACCAACAACACCAAAUAACACCAAAGUCUCUUGCUCCUGUCCUCAGAACCUCUCAGAGGCAUCCUCUGCCCUGUUGGAGCCAUUUUAUUUCAGGUUGAUCCUUAAUUAAAUUCAGCGAGAUGCAGGACCUGUGUGUGUGAGUGUGGAUCUUGUGUGUGAAUGUGGACCUGUGUGUGUGAACGUGGGCCUGUGUGAGUGUGGGCCUGUGUGUGAGAGUGGACCUGUGUGUGUGAGUGUGGGCCUGUGUGUGAGUGUGGAUGUGUGUGUGUGAGUGUGGGCCUGUGUGUGUGAGUGUGGACCUGUGUGUGUGAGUGUGGGCCUGUGUGUGAGUGUGCAACUGUGUGUGUGUGAAUGUGGAUCUGUAUGUGAACAUGGACCUGUGUGUGUGUGUGUGGACCUGUGUGUGUGAAUGUGGAUCUGUAUGUGAACGUGGACCUGUGUGUGUGUGUGUGGACCUGUGUGUGUGAAUGUGGAUCUGUAUGUGUGAAUGUGGACCUGUGUGUGUGAGCAUGGUAUUUACAAUCAGCAGGAAGAAGCCUGGAAAUGAGUCCUGAUUAAAUGAGAAUCUAAAUACAGAACAAGUACCCUAGGAGUUCUAGAAAGAUGAAUAAUUCUCAACCCAGCAUAGUAACAGCAGCUUACAAUAUGUUUGUGUAUGUCAUAAUGGAGUGGUUUCUGUUACAUGUGUAAUGCUGGUAUCAUAAGAAGAGUAUUGUCAUGCUCACAGGAUGUCAGGUACAGAAGGUUAUAACUGCUUUGUUGUGUUACUUAUCUACUGCUGCAUAACAAAUUACCACAAACUUCGUACUUUUAAACAGCACAUUUAUUAUUUCACAGUUCCUGUGGGUCAGGAGUCCAGGCACAGUUUAGCUGAUUCCUCUGUUUUAGAUUCUCUUACGGUGCUUUAAUCCGGGAGUCAGUCAGGGCUGGGGAUCUUAUCUGCAGCUUGACCGGGGAAGGUUCUGCUUCCAAAAUCAUGUGGUUGUUGACAGAAUUCAGUUCCUUGAGGGUUGUUGGCCUGAGGGCCUCAGCUUCUUGUGGGCCCUCAGCCAGAGGCCACCCUCAGUUCUUCUCCAGGACCUCUCUCUAUGGCAGCUUACUCCAUCAAAGCCAGCAAGGGAGACAGUUGACAGCAAAAGUCGGCUAGUAAGAUGGGUGUUCAAGUCCGCUGGAAUAUAUUAAUAUCAUGACACUGACGUCCACCACCAUCGCCAUAUUCUGUUGGUUAGAAACAAGUCACAGGUGCCACCCACACUGGAGGGAAGGGAUCCCACAAGGGUGGGUACACCAGGGAGCAUGGACCAUGGAGCCUCCUGGGAGUCUGUCUCCCAUAUUCACUUCACCCACAAGUAAACUGAGUCCCCAAAUUGGGGUGUGCCCUGGCCACAAUCUCAGUGAGUUAGUUUAGUGGCUAGACUCAAAUCUAGGACAAUUAUUCUAAGUCUUGUGCUCUUUCCUCUGUAACAUGCCUCCAUAAUACAAGUUUCAAAUAGGUGAAGCCUUUGGUUCUGAAAAGCAGCGCCUAGCUCUACCCAGCAGUCUUUGCUGCUCAGGUUAACUGCCACCCCAACCAUGAAGUCACUGCGGUCCUUCACUGAGGAACUCAAGGAACCUCUGCAUCCUGGGCCCCAUAAAAUAUUCCUAAACCAAAAUGGUGGAAAAAAUCCCUUUUCCAGAUCAAUUAAAUCAACAAAUUUUAAGAACCUGAGGAUUUGCUUAGUCUCCCACCCCCACCCUCUUAACAAGUGAGAAACCCGAGGUCUAGAAGUGAGAAAUGAUUUACUCAAGCUCACAAUGAUGACAAAGCCUCAUUCUCUUUCUUUUUUACAAAUUUCAAGCAAUCGCAGAGAAUGGAUUGGCUUGCAUAGCCAAGCACAGGAAGGGCCGACGAAUGGGACACCUGGAGCCAGGACUCAGAGGCCCUCAGGGCCACCUCUGUCCCAUCUCUCCCUGCAGGCUGAAGUUUUCAGUCUCCAGCUGACACUGAGACCCCAGCGUCUGAGACCAAAAGGAAAACAAUCAAAUAAGCAACAGUUCUGAUCCCAACAGGCCAAGUUGCCUCUUUCAGGAAAAAUCUGCUCACAUCAUGAAUUCUGGACACGCAAUUGUUGUUUAAAUAGUUCAUUCCCAAGAGGCCACCCUUCACUGAUAGAUACAGCUUUGUGUAAUAUGACCGUAGCUUCGUCUCUGUAAUUUCAGUAAGACUACAAUUCCCACCUCAAGAGGUGGAAGUGAAGUCUAAUUUUCCGUGAGGAUCACGUGUGCAUGUGGAUGUGUGUGUGUUUCUUUUUCUGUGGGUCCAAGUCUUUAUCUUGCUAAAUCCAUUACACCUCCUCUCUGCCUGUCUGCACUGGAGAUAAAAAAUGGCAUUUUCUGGCCUCAGGCCACUGCAUUUGGCCAAACAUUCUCCCAGCAAAGUUAUGAACAAAAUUUCCUCCUCCAUUUGUGCUCUUCUGAAAGAGACGUCUGGCUGCAUUCACUGUCCACUGUCCUCAGAGAAUAACUGAAGGAACAAAUGAAACCAGAUAUAAUGAGCUCUGUGCCUGUCAUCUUGAGUUUCAAUGAACUUAUCUCUUUACUGGCUUUGAAGAGCUGAAAUCACUCCAUGUGCUGGGGGGGUAGUUUAGAGAAUAUGAAGAAUUUGAUCCUUGGUGGGGCUAAAUAGUUGUGAUCCUGGGCUACUUUUGAGUUGUUUCUCCUUGGCUGACAUGGACUUUCUGAAGGCACUUGUUUUCAAGAGAAAUCAGAAAUAUGCUUCAGAAAAAUAACCAUCAAAUCAUUUUGGAAGAAAUAAGAAAAGAACAUUUAUUUUAGCAAUAAGAUAAUCUCUUCUGGGAUUCAUAACUAAUUUGGUGGAAGUGUUUCUAUUUUAAAUAAAAUCCACAUCAGUAUUAGAAGAAUGUGGAUUGAUUUUCUGGGCCUUUUAGGGCCACCAACCUCAGCAUUUGCCGAAUGUGGACUCAAGGACUCUGUCUCUUUGCACUUGCUGCUUCCUGUUUUUGGAGAUGCUUCUACCUCCUCUCUCUGACAAACUUCUUCCUACUCACCUGGCAGGGUCCAGCUGCACACCCCCUCUUCCAUGAGGCCUGCUGGCGCUCCCACUUCCCCAACCUCUCCUCACCAUGCACAGGGGCGGCCACUCUCCUCUUUGGACUCUCGCAGCCUCUUUUUAUAGUUCUAUCUAGGUCUUUGCUAUAUUUGCCCGGGGAGGCUGUGAUCAACAUGGGAACAGGGGUUUGGUUUUGUUCAUUUUCAUUUUCGCAGGCCUUGGAGGACUCACGCAGCUUGUAAUGGCACAGGCUUGAUGGAUGGAUGAAUUGGCAAAUCACUUUGAGGAAAAUCUCUUUGAUUGGUAUAUUUGAUUCCUAGUUAACAAACUGC
rnacentral:lncRNA from 10 species